rnacentral:lncRNA from 1 species
UAAAUUGUGUAAUUUUUUUUUUUUUUUUGAGAGAUAGGUAGCAUGCUAUCAGUUUCGUUUAUUUCAUUUAGAAAUAAAUUUAGUUGGAACUGUAAAUCAGCUAGAUUCGAACUUGGAACCUCGGAUACCAACCACCAAACCCUUUGCGCGCCACUUGCUGUAGGAACGGCCGGUAAAUUGUGUAAAUGUUAGAAUUAUUUUUCU